GCCGGGCGCAGUGGUGCACGCCUGUAAUCCCAGCAGCUCGGGAGGCUGAGGCAGGAGGAUCACAAGUUCAAAGCCAGCCUCAGCAAAGGUGAGGCGCUAAGCAGCUCAGUGAGACCCCGUCUCUA
rnacentral:sRNA from 1 species